rnacentral:rRNA from 1 species
CAAGCAAGACUACCCGCUGAACUUAAGCAUAUCAGUAAGCGGAGGAAA